UACGUAGGGCGCAAGCGUUGUCCGGAAUUAUUGGGCGUAAAGAGCUCGUAGGCGGCUUGUCACGUCGGAUGUGAAAGCCCGGGGGCUUAACCCCGGGUCUGCAUUCGAUACGGGCUAGCUAGAGUGUGGUAGGGGAGAUCGGAAUUCCUGGUGUAGCGGUGAAAUGCGCAGAUAUCAGGAGGAACACCGGUGGCGAAGGCGGAUCUCUGGGCCAUUACUGACGCUGAGGAGCGAAAGCGUGGGGAGCGAACAGG
rnacentral:rRNA from 1 species